rnacentral:rRNA from 1 species
UGAGGAAUUUUGCGCAAUGGGGGAAACCCUGACGCAGCAACACCGCGUGAGCGAUGAAGGCCUUCGGGUUGUAAAGCUCUGUCAGGCAGGAAGAAAAAAAUGACGGUACUGCCAGAGGAAGCCCCGGCUAACUCCGUGCCAGCAGCCGCGGUAAUACGGAGGGGGCAAGCGUUGUUCGGAAUUAUUGGGCGUAAAGAGCGUGUAGGCGGUGAGGUAAGUCAAACGUGAAAGUCAACGGCUCAACCGAGGAAUUGCGUUUGAUACUGCCUUUCUGGAGUACGGGAGAGGAGAGUGGAAUUCCUAGUGUAGCAGUGAAAUGCGUAGAUAUUAGGAAGAACACCGGUGGCGAAGGCGGCUCUCUGGACCGUUACUGACGCUGAGACGCGAAAGCCAGGGGAGCGAACGGG